UAGGUGACCUGCGGAGGAUCAUUACACAUAUAUGGGACACUAAUGUGGUCCCUUGACUAAAACCCUCUCUGCGUACCAAUCUAUGUUGCUUUCCUAGGUGGUUGGUUUCAGCUGCCGUCCAACAUUGCCUGCUAGCUCAGUCAAUCCGAGUUGUUAACUUGGAGUUUGAUCUAUUUUACUGAUGGGUUAAGCUUUAAUGGGUCAGCGAGCUUAAUUUAUAUCUAUCAGGAUCAGCUAUGUAGGCCCCUGGGAAAGGGUCCAUUGCAAGUGAAUAUUUCAAUCAGCUGUCUGAGUCGGCCUAGUGCCUUAUUCUUUAAACAAGUUAAAACUUUCAACAACGGAUCUCUUGGCUCUCGCAUCGAUGAAGAACGCAGCGAAAUGCGAUAAGUAAUGUGAAUUGCAGAAUUCAGUGAAUCAUCGAAUCUUUGAACGCACAUUGCGCCCCUUGGUAUUCCUUGGGGCAUGCCUGUUCGAGCGUCACUACAAACCCGCUCAUAAAUGUUAUGGUAUUGAUGGAAGUGAACUGUUGCAACUAAAGUGUGUGGAUCACCCCAUCGAAAUACAUAGGCAGGACAACAAACCUCUGUAGCUGACUUAGUAACUGUUUUCAAGACACAAACCAGUCACUUGCUAGGUUCUAGCCUGGCCUCAUUAGACCUCCAUUCAAGAUAAAUACUGGGUUGACCUCGGAUCAGGUAGGGAUACCCGCUGAACUUAAGCAUAUCAAUAAGCGGAGGAAAAGAAACCAACAGGGAUUGCCCUAGUAACGGCGAGUGAAGCGGCAAAAGCUCAAAUUUGAAAUCUGGCGCCUGUGGUGUCCGAGUUGUAAUUUGGAGAGGCAUCUUCCGGAGGGGUCCAGCCUAUGUUCCUUGGAACAGGACAUCACAGAGGGUGAGAUCCCGUUCAUGGCUGGAGAUACCCUUCAUUAGGUAGUG
rnacentral:rRNA from 1 species